rnacentral:rRNA from 1 species
UACGGAGGGUGCGAGCGUUGUCCGGAAUCACUGGGCGUAAAGGGCGCGUAGGUGGCCGAGCAAGGUCGCGGUGAAAGCCCGGGGCUCAACCCCGGGUCGGCCGUGGCAACUACUGGGCUAGAGCACUGUAGGGGCGGGUGGAAUUCCGGGUGUAGCGGUGGAAUGCGUAGAGAUCGGGAGGAACAUCAGUGGCGAAGGCGGCCGUCUGGGACAACACUGACGCUGAAGCACGAAAGCGUGGGGAGCAAACAGG